CGGCCCUGAAGAGGGUACAGCGGGUGAAACCUUCCUCCGCGUCCCCCUCCUCCGCCACCUCUUUCCCCCUGAGGAAAAGCCGCGGGUCCGCCCCGUUUCGCUGGGGGCUACGGGCGGGCUCUCCCCGUUAGCCCGCUCGCCGCCCGUGAGAGAGAGACCCCCCCCCAGUCACUCACCCGGGUUGAAGAGCACCGUCCCCUUGAGUGAGUUCAUACAGCUCCCAAACAUCUGCCAGUGUGGCAUCUUAGGGGUGCAGUCCCAUAAGACCAGCCGAGCCAAUCUAGGAGCUCAUUGGAGCUGAAAGAGUGACUCCCACAGGCGCACUUGCUUUCCUUGUGCCAGCUCUGGCACUCACGUGACUCCUUGGACUAGGCUGUGACAGUGCCCAGAAUCCUAAAUGAAGAGCAACGUGUAUUAGCACUGUCAUGUUCGCAACUGAAGAGCAAAUCGUUGACCCCGACCAUGUCAAAGCAGCUGUGGCAUCACCCAAUGCUCUGCUGGGAAAACAGUCUGAACUGCCCAAACGCCUCCCUUCCCACAGCAAAUUCCCUGAUCCGACCGGUGCCCCGUAGCAGGAAAGAAGCCAGCAGGCAGCACUUCCCACGCCGCUGUCACUCCCGGGCCGUGCUUCCCGAGAGAGAGUGCGUGUG